rnacentral:lncRNA from 1 species
GGCGCGGGCGGCAUCAGCAGGGGGUGAUCUGGGGCGCCAUGGGGGGCUAGGUUGGGGUGCCUGGGGGCCGGCGGGGGGACUCCCAGCGGCCCCCUGGUGCCUUAUGCGGCUUGGGGUGUGGUCGUCCUCCCUGGGCGGGCUGCUCCUGGUGCUGCAUCCAUUCCGGGUCCUUCUGGCCUGGGGUCGGGCCCCUGCUGGCUCUGGGCUCGCCGGCGGGUGCCCGCCGGCUGCCCGUUCGGCGCGGCUCUGGUCGUCUGCUGGGCGUGGGCUUCGGUUCCUCCGCUGGGGCCUCGGGCAGGGAGUUCUCUGGGCCCUCCCCUCGGGGGGUUGGGCGCGGGGGUGUGUGUGGGGGGGGGGGGGGUCGGGGGGGGGGGGGGUCUGGGGGUUGGGGGUGGGAUCGGUGGCGUGGUGCGCUGGGUCCUUGGCUCCUUGGGGCUUUCUCGGGUGUGUAUGGGGGGGGCGAUGGCUGCCUCUCGGCUUGGGACCUUGGGGGCGUGCGGGGGGCUGCUUGGCCGUGGGGUGGUCGCCGGGGGCCCUUAGGCUGCCCGCUCUCGCUGCUGGCCUGACUGCUUCUUCGGGCCCGGGGGCGGCUCGUGGGUUUUGCAGUGGCGGUUCUUGGAAAUACAUUUGUCAUGUAUGCACUGGCCUUGGGCUGUGGGAUAACACUCAUACUGGGCUCAACCUUAGACACCUUGCACCUUGUUCCCAAAUACCUGUUUUAUGGAAUUUCCACUCACCUCUUCCUCUGUUCACAGCCACCACUAUUAUUCCUAAACCGCACACUGGUCACCAAACUGCACAAUAUACACAACCACAAUUUCACAUCGCAUCACUUGGAACCUAACAACUAUUCCCCACUCAUUCCAUAUCCUAUCUUGUAUCCCUCUUCCCUGUUAACUUCCCCACCCCCCUCCAACCCCUCACCUUGGUGUAAACACUGCCCUCUCUUUUUUUUACAUCCUCCCUUUAAUAAAGUAUUUCUUACCCUUCCCUAGGGAGGGCUGGUGAUGGUCACAAUUA